UGGAGCAGCUGGGAAAAGGACCUGGUCAGCUCUGGGAGCACAGGUGAAGGCAAUUCAGCUGUGUGAUAGGAAGGGAUGGAGGCUGGCUGCACCUCUCUUAGACCUCAUUUAAGGGCUGGCUGCCACUGGGUCAGGUUCUGUGGUUGGAGAUCUCUCCCUUGUGGUGUUUUCCCUGUGAACCUGGAUCUUUGGAGAUGGGUCACCCUCGGUUGCUUCCCUUUUUCUCCUGAUGAGUUACUAGCUCAAUGAGGUGAAGUGCUAUAGCCAUCAGAAAUUGGACAGUUGUUCGGCUGCACAGCUGUCCUGCAGUCCCGUGGUUCUGGCAUGAAGCACUGAGCAAACGAUGCGAGAGAGCAUCGAUCCACCAACAGCCCACAGCUUAUGGGCAGCUUGGGCAGAAGUGGCUCCUGACAAGAGAGUGGACAGGGAAGAAAAAUGUUAUUUAGCAGCUGCCAUUUUCUGAUCUGCUGGGACUCCUGAUAGACGCAGUGUGCCUUCCUCUUCAUACCACGGCUGGGUGUUGCACGUGAGGGUCCAUGAAGCAGGCUUUUUAUGCCUCUGGUGAUUUAUACAUAUCCUGUUCAUUGAAAGUUGUUGAAAGUCUGGAUGGUGUUUUUGCCCAGGAGGUGGGAAGAAGGGCUGAGGAACCACCAUCCUUUAGCACUCGCAUGGUGGCUGCUGUUGGCACUGCCAGCAUUGCUGUGGUUGUGCUGCCUUGCUGAGGAAUCCCAGCUUGAGAAAACAGAGGAGCAGUAGAUUUAAGAGCUCUUUUCAGCAGAGGAAUAGCUGUGCUUACUGACAAUAACGAGGAGAUGGAUCAUCUUUUGUUAUUGGCACACUAAGAGGCAUCCCAAAGAAACCCAGAAUACUGAGAGGAUAGAGGACAAACGGACUAUACAGCCAGCAUGAAAACACUCUUAUUCCAGCAUCUUGUGUUCUAAAGCCUUCAUCUCCAAAUACCUGUUGCUGUUUUCAUGGUGGACUGAGUUAAUGCAGAACUCAGCAUUCCCCACUGUUUUCCCUGCUGCCUUACGGAGGAUUUUAAGUAGCAGCCGGUGGUCAGCAUUAAAAAGGUUGCUGGCAAAUCACAGUCUAGAACUUCCUGUCAUUUUUGUCAUUUUGAGGUUGGCUGUUGCACUUUUUUCUAGUAAUUGUUGAAUAUGAAAUGCUGACUGACUUCUAUUUCAUGAUCAUAAGGUUUAAUGAGCGUAUUAUUUAAUAUGGCCCAAGAAACCUGCACCUCUGUCUUUGUUCCCAAGAAAGUAAUUGCUAUGAGCUGUUUUUUCACCCUCUGGAACAAUUCAUAAAUGUGGUUUCUGAUCUAUUUCAAAUUCCAGAGUGUCAGUGCCCAGGACUUUCCAUUGCUCUGAGGAAAACUGGAUGGCUGAGUGAUGGAAUGAGUGGAAGGUGGAACAUAUUCUAGUUCCGUGCUUACAUGAUUCUCUCAGUUACAGAGGAAUUUGAAACACAAGCAUAAAAACACCUUUAAUUAAACACUAAUUUUUAAGACCUAAGGAAGGAAGUCCAUCUGCAGUGCUUUAAGAAAAGUAGUCCUCAUUCUUUUCUAUCGAAGAAACAUUCGUUCCACAGAAACUCUUAUCUGGAGUUUCCAUUCUUCUUUCAAAGCCAGUAUUUUAAUAUUCACCCAUCUGUUAAAAAUGGCUAGAUGCAACUUCUUGGAAGACUGUGAACACUGCAACCAUCUCCCACCAUUUAUUUUUUCCCUCUCCAUUUGGUCUUGUAGCCAAACAGCAAAGGAAAUGUAGAAGUGUAAGAAAGCAACAUGAGCCAGGCCAACAGCAACUUGACCUGCAGCACAGCCUGCAAAUGUCAUUCAAUCCCUAUUUGAACAUUAAGUUGUCUCACCCUUUGUCACUGCUUUCUCUUAAUCCUCUGUCAUCACAAUUCUUAUAAUGGAAAACUGCUUAAAUAUCAGAAUUCCACAAUAGUUACUGUAAAAUAUUUCUUGGCCUUCAAGCAAACAGUAUAGAACUAAUUCUAGAAGAAUUAAAUAAAGUAACAUGUAGGCUGCCAUGGCUGAUUUCUUCAAGACAGGAAUGAACACACCCACUCAGAGCAAGAACAUCUUAAAUCUGUAAAGUACCAAAAUCGUGAUUCCAAAUUAAAAAAUAGACAGGCAGUCAGAACUGAAUUCCUUCUAGUCUUACCUGGAAGAGUCUUUCUACAUUAAAGCUGUCAUUGACACAUCUGAUGCUCUUAUUUUUGCUCUGAACUACUGCUACUGUUGCUCUUUCAUACUCUGUUCAGGCCUGCCACCAUCCUGCACAGCUGCUGUGCACAGCUUGUUGUUUACUGCAAUAGCUGGAAUAAAUAUUUGAAAGCUUAAAAUCAGAGCUUCUUUUAAGUUCAGUUGUAAGAGUAAGUCAAGUCUACCAUUAUAUCUUAGAUUUAUUCACCACAAUUAGUAACGAGGCACUUCAAAAGAGUUUGCAUAACUUUAGCAGGCUU